UACGGAGGGUGCAAGCAUUAAUCGGAUUUAUUGGGCGUAAAGGACGCGUAGGCGGCAAAGAAAGUCGGGUGUGAAAUCCCGGAGCUCAACUCCGGAACAGCACUCGAAACUCCUUUUCUAGAGGAUAGGCGGGGAAAACGGAAUUCCACAAGUAGCGGUGAAAUGCGUAGAUAUGUGGAAGAACACCUGUGGCGAAAGCGGUUUUCUAGCUUAUUCCUGACGCUGAGGCGUGAAAGCAAGGGGAGCAAACAGG
rnacentral:rRNA from 1 species